ACUAAAUAAAUGGGUUGCCAAGUUACCAAAUGCACAUGCCUUAGGUCAUUGGAGCUCUCCCUAAACAGAAUUGCUAUUAAUCUUAUUUAUCUCAUUACAAACAGUUGGUGGGAGCAAUCUGGGAACGUUUUAGCACUAAAGAGAAGUUGUGGUUGUGCUCUGAUACAUUUAAUUUCUGAUAAGCCUUUUUUUUUUUUUUGACAGAAUCUUUUGGGAGUCAAAGAAAUUUGAAGGACUGACUGACAAGGUUGAGCCAUGGUAUGGUACUGCAUAUUCCAUUGAGAAAGCUAGCCCCUCAACAAUUCAGGCAUGGAUGUCCUCGGCUCCUAAUGAAAACCUGCAUCUACCAGCACCAAAUGUCUUUAUACCAACAAACUUAUCUAUUAAGAAUGCACAAGAGAAGAUCAAGCUUCCAGUUUUGUUAAGAAAGUCAUCCUAUUCAAAAUUAUGGUACAAGCCUGAUACAGUGUUCUUUAUUCCAAAGGCAUAUUUAAGAUAAACUUUGACUGCCCCCAUGCUAGCAACUCUCCCGAAACUGAGCUUAUUAUGCCCGAGUUGCUGGUCUUCGUUAUCAUGUAAGGUG